UACGAAGGGUGCAAACGUUGCUCGGAAUUAUUGGGCGUAAAGCGCACGUAGGCGGCAUUGCAAGUCGGAUGUGAAAUCCCUCGGCUUAACCAAGGAAGUGCAUCCGAAACUGCAGUGCUUGAGUACUUAAGAGGAUCGCGGAAUUCCCGGUGUAGAGGUGAAAUUCGUAGAUAUCGGGAGGAACACCAGUGGCGAAAGCACUCUGCUGGGCCGACACUGACACUGAGAGACGAAAGCUAGGGGAGCGAAUGGG
rnacentral:rRNA from 1 species